GAUGAACGCUGGCGGCGUGCCUAAUACAUGCAAGUCGAACGAAACUUCUUUAUCACCGAGUGCUUGCACUCACCGAUAAAGAGUUGAGUGGCGAACGGGUGAGUAACACGUGGGCAACCUGCCCAAAAGAGGGGGAUAACACUUGGAAACAGGUGCUAAUACCGCAUAACCAUAGUUACCGCAUGGUAACUAUGUAAAAGGUGGCUAUACUACCGCUUUUGGAUGGGCCCGCGGCGCAUUAGCUAGUUGGUAGGGUAAAGGCUUACCAAGGCAGUGAUGCGUAGACGAAGUGAGAGGUUGGUAGGCCGCAUUAGGAGUGAGACACGGCCCAAGCGCCUACGAGAGGCAGCAGUAGGGAAUGUUAGGCAGUGGGCGAGAGCCUUAUGGAGCAAGGCAGCGUCGGUGAAGGAGGUCUUCGGAUCGUAAAACCGUGUUGUGAGAGAAGAAAGUGCGUCAGAGGAACUGUUGACGUUGCGACGGUAUCUAAACAGAAAGCCACGGCUAACUACGUG
rnacentral:rRNA from 1 species